GGGGUGAAGGGGGUGGGGCCCAAUCAGGGCGGGGUUGAAGGGGGCGUGACCAUGUAGCUGUUACUGCUGUCAAUCAUUGCUCUCACCGCUGUCACCGCACACCUGAGCGCUUCUGGCAGGUUCCACCCCCAGAGCAUGACAGGGAAAUUCCCUGCUUCAGUUAGUCAAAAACUAACUAAAAACAAAGGAGAGCUCUGUCCCACUCUUCACUACAGGACACAGUCCAGGAGAAAAAGCAAUGAAACUCCUUUCGCUAUGUUUUGACAACAACGGUCUCAAACAUUUCCACUGCUGCUUCUUCCCCCCCUUCACUCUCAAAGCCAGACUUAAAGGUACAAAACUUAUUUCUGGGCUACAGACAAAUGAGGAUAGAAUUCAACAUCACAAAGUCACUCCAGGACAACUUUUAAAACCUUUUAAAGUCCAACCAGCUGCCAUGGGCAGGGAUCUCUUCAACAUCUUCAACCAGAGCAAGCUGCUCAAAGCCCCGUCCAAUGUGGCUCUGGACGUUUGCAAGGAUGAUGCAUCCAAGACCUCCCUAGGCAGCCUGUUCCUUGCUUUCACCUCUCUCCGUGUAAAAAAUCUCUUCCUCAUGGUGGGAUCUCUCGGAUGAUAGCGUGAGGAGCAGCAGGCCAGUGCAGCUCAUGGAAGGAAGAGACUCAUUUCAUGGCACUGCUGGCCUCGGCAGAAUUAGCAUGGCUCAGAAAGGCCAGGAGGCCCAGGAGCUUGGACUGAGCCAGCAGUUCCCUUCUCACAUGUUCCCUCAACAGCAACCUUCCUCAAGAGCCCCUGAGGAGUGGCAAGAGGCAAAAAAACACGAAGAACGACCCCGGAGCGGCCUUGAAAAAGCAGGAAGCCCCGGAGAUGUGUCCGGGACAAGAGCAGAAACCGCGGCAGGCGGCGGCACGGGGACGUUCCCGAGCGCUCCGCUCCGCAUCCCUCUGUCCAGGCUCCGCGAAAUAGAAGAGGAGCUGCUGUGCGCGGAUGAGGCGGACAAUGAGUUCGAGUCUGGCGAGCCAGGGCCAGCGGCAGGGCCAGCAGCAGCGGCUCAGCCUCCCGGCCGAGCCCCAGCGCUGGGGGACAGCCGGGGCCUCGGCGCUGGCGCGGGGCUGCGGGCGGCGCUGCGGGAAGGCAGCGCUCGCCCCCCCCCCCCCCCCCCCCCCCCCCCCCCCCCCCCCCCCCCCCCCCCCCCCCCCCCCCCCC
rnacentral:lncRNA from 1 species